UUAUUAAGGGAAAUGUUUAUUUUAAUCCAGCUUGUCCUGUUCACAACAUGAGCAGAAUUUAUUGUCAUGUUAAUAAAAUUCAUUAUCAGAUCAGCAAUUUAAUUCAUGCAAUUGGGAACAAAAAGUUAAAUUAUUCGAAAGUAAAAUAAGAAGUAAUUUUAACUAGGUGUUUUUUCUUGCUCAUUGUGAAAUAAGUAUUUGUUUUAAAUUGCACCAAUAAGUUCAAAACUCAAACAAUGCUUACACAACUUGUCUCUUGUUCAGCUUCACAAACUUUCAUUUCUGAGUUAAAAAUAAAACAAUUUUCUUGUGGACUUGAAUCGCAUUUUUCAUCUUCAAAUGUUUUACAGAGCUGCAACAUUACAGCUGCAAAGGAUUUGAUGCCUCACUUGUGAAUAUCACUAAGAGCCCGGCUUUUCUUUAAACUCUCUCUUAUCCGUGUUUGUCAGGAUAAGACAAACACGUGGUGCUGCGCCCCACGCCGCAGCACAUUCAAUCCCCUGUUCAAACAUCCAUGGUCUCCUCCCCCCAGGACUCUGACCUGCAUCCUGGGGGUCUGUGUUUUCUGCUCUGCUGCUCCACGCCUGAGGAACAUCCUGCUUUACAAACAGCCCAAAGCCACUGGAAAGGAGAAUAUAAACCUUGCUUUUUAAGAGACAUUUUAACCUUUAGAUCCUCUGUGCUUUUAUUACCUUUUUACAGGUGAGAUUUUAUCUGUUAUGCCUCCAGAUUGCUUUUAUGUAGCACUGUGAUGUUGUGAACUGUUUUAGAAAUAAAAUCCAUUCUUCGUCCUCGACCUGUCCGCUGUGUUUUUUUUUUUUUUUUGGUCUCUCAUUUUCUCUAACAAACCUUUGAGGCAUUCACAGAAAAGCUGAGAUUAAAUUACACACAACAGGUGCGCUCUAUUUACUGAACAUGAACCUCUGAAUAAAACUGAAUCGGGAAAGUCCCACACAUACUGAGAACCACUGCUGAAGACAAAAUAAAUAAAUAGAAUACAAAUAAACAUAACGAUGAUGUCCAGUACAAUAAAUGUUCACUUCUACAGCGACCAUGUCAAUGCCAGACCUAAAUCAAUUUGAGAGGCAGCGGUUUGACCUUCUGCAGAGACAUGUGGACAAAUUCCCACAAAGCUGAAAAAGAUUUACUUCCAGCUAUCACAAAAUCUUGAUGGUAGUUGUUGCCGCUUUUCACUUUGGAGUUUUAUUAGCUAGUUGCUUCCACAUAAGGUCUUUUCUGAAAGAACUUAAAGGAAAAGUUCAUAUUUAUUUUUGCCCAUCAAAUCCAAACUUGGUUACAGUAACAUCCAAGCUGGUUAGCGUUAUCAUGCCACAACUCUUCUUUUUUUCAGCAAACUACCACAUUUUGUUGCUAACAGAAGGAUAUUUUGCACAAAUGUGUUCACUGAUCAGAGUAUCGGAUAUUUUUUUAUUAUAAAGAUACUCCAGAAAAUGUUUUUUUUCUUUUCAUCUGAACUGACCUGUAGCUAAUAUAGCCACCUCAUUUGCAGCAAAAGCAAAUGUGGUGGAUUAGCAGGUCUUCCCAGGACGUGUUGCUGUCAAGAGACGGUCAUACAGCAACAGUCUUCAGUCAGAGGCCUCUUCAGAUGUGUUGCAAAACUGACUGCUACCAGAAAUCCUUUCUGCUCACAUCUUAAUCAUCUCCUUCUAUUUGGAUGAAUUAUGCCGUCUAAUUAAGCCGUCUGUGGGAUAAAUAAAGUACUUUUGAGCUGAAUUAGUUCCUGCCAGGCCCAUCUUGUCCUGUACUUUGGCCUCAUUAUAAUGUUGGCCUUUAUAAGUGAGAUGUGUAGAUAGUUGUGGGGAUGGUUUUAUGGAUUCUACAGGACUUUCCAAGACUUUUACCACAUUAAUGAGUCUUAAAGCAAUUUUUAAUUAAAUUAAAUAAAAUUUGGGAGCAACUCAAAUGUUAUUCAUUUUCCUGAAGUCAUUAACCUUCCACUAAUUUCUCACUGAACCCCGAUUACGAAGCCUGAAAAGGUCAAUUUGUGGACCAGGCUGUCAGAAUAUUUUAGUUCAUUUUAUUCCUUGACUAUGCAAACAGAACAUUUUUUACUAUAUUUGCAUGUUUUUUUUUAAUGGCCCGAAUCCUGUUAUCAUAAUUGUUAAUCAUAAAAAAUUGAGGACAUGCUUUAGUCUUGGUUACUCAAAGGUAAGAUGUUAACUACACAUAACUGCUGCACAGAACCCUGCUUAAAAAAUGUGAUUUGUCUCUUUAAUGGAUCCAUGCCUCAGUGAUUCUCCAGGGUUGAACAGAGACAGAACUUUCUCAGUCCAAACAACUUCCACACAAGUUUUUCUUCUGGGUUUUGUUCCUUCUAGGCUACCACACUCACAAGCUGCAUGGCUCCUUUCUCCUCUGCUUUUAAAUCCCAGCCUUCAUGCUGUCAGUGCCAGGAGGAUAACAGGGUUGGGGCCCUGCAAGCUAAAGCACACAGAGCGUCCCCUCCCUGCACACUAUUCACCCCAUCAAGCGCGGAGACAAAGAAACCCCCUUACCAGAGCUCCAUCCAUAACAAGCCUGUUUUUCUAAGCUGUUACUACCAUGUGAUGCAUUCCCACAAUUAGGCCAGCGACCACACCAAGCUGACAAAACAGCAUCAAAUUAUUACACAGUCAUUUCAAACUUCUGCCACCAACGACGUAAUACAGCGUAAAAACAAAUAAAAACAGGUGGAAUAACUUGUUUGCAUAGUGUUGCAACACCUUUUGUUUCAGUUUCAGCAUUCAUUCUUCUUCAGUACAAGUCUAACUGCAUCUCAUGUCUCAACCCGACAAGAGCUGAGUUUCUAUUAACAGAUCCGCUCUGAUCUUUAAAAGUCAGGAAAUGGCUGAAACACAACAUUAAAUCCUCCUAAAUCUGUCCGCAUCAACAGUCAGAGAGCAACAGCUACAAAAAAAA